rnacentral:rRNA from 1 species
UUAAGCGACUAAGCGUACACGGUGGAUGCCUAGGCAGUCAGAGGCGAUGAAGGGCGUGCUAAUCUGCGAAAAGCGUCGGUAAGGUGAUAUGAACCGUUACAACCGACGAUACCCGAAUGGGGAAACCCAGUGCAAUUCGUUGCACUAUUGCAUGGUGAAUACAUAGCCAUGCAAGGCGAACCGGGGGAACUGAAACAUCUAAGUACCCCGAGGAAAAGAAAUCAACCGAGAUUCCCCCAGUAGCGGCGAGCGAACGGGGAGGAGCCCAGAACCUGAAUCAGCAUAUGUGUUAGUGGAAGCGUCUGGAAAGUCGCACGGUACAGGGUGAUAGUCCCGUACACAAAAAUGCAUAUGUUGUGAGUUCGAUGAGUAGGGCGGGACACGUGACAUCCUGUCUGAAUAUGGGGGGACCAUCCUCCAAGGCUAAAUACUCCUGACUGACCGAUAGUGAACCAGUACCGUGAGGGAAAGGCGAAAAGAACCCCGGCGAGGGGAGUGAAAUAGAACCUGAAACCGUGUACGUACAAGCAGUGGGAGCACCUUCGUGGUGUGACUGCGUACCUUUUGUAUAAUGGGUCAGCGACUUAUAUUUUGUAGCAAGGUUAACCGAAUAGGGGAGCCGUAGGGAAACCGAGUCUUAACUGGGCGAAUAGUUGCAAGGUAUAGACCCGAAACCCGGUGAUCUAGCCAUGGGCAGGUUGAAGGUUGGGUAACACUAACUGGAGGACCGAACCGACUAAUGUUGAAAAAUUAGCGGAUGACUUGUGGCUGGGGGUGAAAGGCCAAUCAAACCGGGAGAUAGCUGGUUCUCCCCGAAAGCUAUUUAGGUAGCGCCUCGUGAACUCAUCUUCGGGGGUAGAGCACUGUUUCGGCUAGGGGGUCAUCCCGACUUACCAAACCGAUGCAAACUCCGAAUACCGAAGAAUGUUAUCACGGGAGACACACGGCGGGUGCUAACGUCCGUCGUGAAGAGGGAAACAACCCAGACCGCCAGCUAAGGUCCCAAAGUCAUGGUUAAGUGGGAAACGAUGUGGGAAGGCAUAGACAGCCAGGAUGUUGGCUUAGAAGCAGCCAUCAUUUAAAGAAAGCGUAAUAGCUCACUGGUCGAGUCGGCCUGCGCGGAAGAUGUAACGGGGCUAAACCAUGCACCGAAGCUGCGGCAGCGACACUUAGGUGUUGUUGGGUAGGGGAGCGUUCUGUAAGCCGUUGAAGGUGACCUGUGAGGGUUGCUGGAGGUAUCAGAAGUGCGAAUGCUGACAUAAGUAACGAUAAUGCGGGUGAAAAACCCGCACGCCGGAAGACCAAGGGUUCCUGUCCAACGUUAAUCGGGGCAGGGUGAGUCGACCCCUAAGGCGAGGCUGAAAAGCGUAGUCGAUGGGAAACAGGUUAAUAUUCCUGUACUUGGUGUUACUGCGAAGGGGGGACGGAGAAGGCUAGGCUAGCCGGGCGACGGUUGUCCCGGUUUAAGCAUGUAGGCGGAGUGACUUGGUAAAUCCGGUUGCUUAUCAACGCUGAGGUGUGAUGACGAGCCACUACGGUGGUGAAGUAGUUGAUGCCAAGCUUCCAGGAAAAGCCUCUAAGCAUCAGGUAACAUUAAAUCGUACCCCAAACCGACACAGGUGGUCAGGUAGAGAAUACUCAGGCGCUUGAGAGAACUCGGGUGAAGGAACUAGGCAAAAUGGUGCCGUAACUUCGGGAGAAGGCACGCUGGCAUUAGGUAAAGGGACUUGCUCCCGGAGCUGAAGCCAGUCGCAGAUACCAGCUGGCUGCAACUGUUUAAUAAAAACACAGCACUGUGCAAACACGAAAGUGGACGUAUACGGUGUGACGCCUGCCCGGUGCUGGAAGGUUAAUUGAUGGGGUCAGCCGCAAGGCGAAGCUCUUGAUCGAAGCCCCAGUAAACGGCGGCCGUAACUAUAACGGUCCUAAGGUAGCGAAAUUCCUUGUCGGGUAAGUUCCGACCUGCACGAAUGGCGUAAUGAUGGCCAGGCUGUCUCCACCCGAGACUCAGUGAAAUUGAACUCGCUGUGAAGAUGCAGUGUACCCGCGGCAAGACGGAAAGACCCCGUGAACCUUUACUAUAGCUUGACACUGAACAUUGAGCCUUGAUGUGUAGGAUAGGUGGGAGGCAUUGAAGUGUGGACGCCAGUCUGCAUGGAGCCAACCUUGAAAUACCACCCUUUAAUGUUUGAUGUUCUAACUCGGCCCCAUAAUCUGGGGUGAGGACAGUGUCUGGUGGGUAGUUUGACUGGGGCGGUCUCCUCCCAAAGAGUAACGGAGGAGCACGAAGGUUAGCUAAUCACGGUCGGACAUCGUGAGGUUAGUGCAAAGGCAUAAGCUAGCUUGACUGCGAGAGUGACGGCUCGAGCAGGUACGAAAGGAGGUCUUAGUGAUCCGGUGGUUCUGAAUGGAAGGGCCAUCGCUCAACGGAUAAAAGGUACUCCGGGGAUAACAGGCUGAUACCGCCCAAGAGUUCAUAUCGACGGCGGUGUUUGGCACCUCGAUGUCGGCUCAUCACAUCCUGGGGCUGAAGUAGGUCCCAAGGGUAUGGCUGUUCGCCAUUUAAAGUGGUACGCGAGCUGGGUUUAGAACGUCGUGAGACAGUUCGGUCCCUAUCUGCCGUGGGCGUUGGAAGAUUGAGAGGGGCUGCUCCUAGUACGAGAGGACCGGAGUGGACGAAUCACUGGUGUUCGGGUUGUCAUGCCAAUGGCAUUGCCCGGUAGCUAAAUUCGGAAGAGAUAACCGCUGAAAGCAUCUAAGCGGGAAACUUGCCUCGAGAUGAGUCUUCCCUGGGGCUUUAAGCCCCCUGAAGGAACGUUAAAGACUAUGACGUUGAUAGGCUGGGUGUGUAAGUGCAGCGAUGCAUUGAGCUAACCAGUACUAAUGAUCCGUGAGGCUUAACCUU